GAUAAACGCUGGCGGCGUGCCUAACACAUGCAAGUCGAACGCCCUUUUGCGCAAGUGAGAGGGAGUGGCGGAUGGGUGAGUAGCACGUGGGUACCUACCCCAAGAUGAGGAAUACCACCGAGAAAUCGGUGACAAGACCGCAUACCUUCGGCCACGAAGAAAGCUUCUCCUCACGAGAGGCGUCUUGGGAUGGGCCUGCGCCUGAUUAGCUGGUUGGUGAGGUAACAGCUCACCAAGGCGACGAUCAGUAGCUGGUCUGAGAGGAUGAUCAGCCACACUGGGAUUGAGAACGGCCCAGACUCCUACGGGGGGCAGCAGUGAGGAAUUUCGUCAAUGGGGGCAACCUGAACGAGCAACGCCGCGUGCAGA
rnacentral:rRNA from 1 species